AUUGCAAUAGAAUAGAUCUCACUUAUUCUGUUCUCGAACUAACCGCGAAAAAUGCGAAUUUGAUUCUCAUAUUUGGUGUCGUCCAAUUGUGCAAUACGUAGAAUAUUUUGUUUUCUUUUUCUUUCUCUUUCCCUCUCUCUUUUUUUUCCAUAUGCCCCAUUGUGUCUGCACUGUUUUCCUCCCUUGCGAUCAGGAUGUUGUGUUUCCUAAGCCGUUCUCCACCAGCGACUUUCAACAUAUUCUGCUCAGAUUUCAGGGUACAUUGAUUGUCGUUAAAGAGGUUGAGUUACUGAACAGUGACGGUUGAGAACACGGAGUAAUGAAGUGUAAUAAACCCUCGAAAAGUAUCCGUGGUCGAACGCUAACGAAGCUCAUCCAGACACCGAUCACUGUCCCCAACGAAACAAUAUAAGUCCGUAUUCACCAACUUACUUAAACUAUUGGUUUAGUGACGUCGGGUUUAAAUCAAUCACGUGAGACUUUCGUUCGCCAAUCCUGGAUCACCACCCCAUGCUCUACCACCUGCUGCUGUGAAGCCUAUGGCGGCGCACAUAGCGAGCUUCCUGCACAGCGCAUGCGUAUUUCACCAGAGUCUGCCAGAAGCGAUGGUAGCCGGUAGGCCUAAUCCCCGGUUCACGAGGAAUUUUUCAUCAAAUCUUGGGUAAGUUUCGAUUAAUAUAGAUACUAGAAGCGCCCAGGAGACAGAUUUGAUCACACUGGGACGAAUAUUUGCCUCAAAUGUUCCAUUUCGAUCAUCCACCAAAGCUACUUAAACUGGUGGUUUAAGCCCCAUGCAUUUGAAUGGGACGUAUUUUAAACUAGGGGAGGGGCUAGUUUAACAUCGGUCUAAGUAUACGUUGCAACUACUGUGGACGUGUGUGUUGAAAAAACUAUCGUAGAUUGGUUGCGGUAGGUGAUGUUGCACUAAUUCGAAGUUAACUGGUAAAAAUUAAGCAGAAUCGUUUCAAAUGCACGGUUAGUAAACAAAAACGGCGUAACGCUUGACCGGGGGUACGAAAUGCGGCUGUUGUUUUUACAAGGCGCUAUUGCGAACUUUUGCAUGACAAACGUAAAAAGCACCGUCAAAGUGUGGUCAAAGAGAGUGACAUCGACAUGUGCCACUGGACAAAAUCCAUAUACCAAUCCAAGGGACCGAGAGAGCGUGCGGAUGGCCGAACGUCAAUGUGCAUCUUCAAAAACAAAGCAUAUAAGUAGUGCUGGCGCUUAUUAUGAGCGUCAUCUCCUGUGAUACACACUGUAAGCGCCCCUGUCAUUUUACAGUAAGAGCAAUAACGUGCUAGAUGUUUGUUGCAAGCCCCGAUGGAGAAAUUGGGGGCGUUAUCCACUGGCAUGCUUAUCAACCAUCCCAGUAUCUAUCAUCUCUUCGCAGCGUGUCUAAUCUCCAGAGACAUCUAACAGUGGAAUAGGACUGAUCAUAAAGUGCAUUAGCGUCUUGCGGCUGUUGUGUGGGUACUACAUCAAGGCAUGGAGAUAUUGCAUGUUGUUGCACUACACUGAACACGAAAUUUGAGCAGAUUUUACGUUCCCCGAUUAUGAAAAUACCGGAGCAAAAGCUAAGGAGGUCCCCAUUUCCCCUGGAUUCACAUGCAAGCAUAGAUGAAACUGAAAUGUGUGUUUUACUUAUUUCAGCAUGCCACAGCAGAACAGACCAAUAAAAAUAUGUUAUUCAGGGCUGCUUCUGCAAAACACACUGCACAGCAAUGUGCUAAAGGAGGCUGCAAACCUUUUGGAAUCAUCAUUACUAUUGCAGGUACAUAACCAUGACCAAUCACUGACAGCUUUUCUGCAUUGUAUAAGCACAUAUAUUCUGGAGAUCCUCUCUUGAAAAUUUCUGCUAUGGACUCAUUCAUCACAACAACUUUGUAUUCGUGAGCUUUUUGUUUAUAUUCAGACAAUAAAGGCUAUUACGUAGUUCCACAAGGAUGACGUUUUUCAUAGAAACGUGCACUCUGGAUAUCCUGCUCAAUUAGUUGUCAAGGUCACAUGAGAACAUAAGUGAGCAAUGGCGCACAAGGAAAAAAAAAAUCCUUGCUACAUUCCACAUGCUAACUCCACCAAUAUAUCUGAGGUGUCGUACUGCAGUACGUUUGAAUUGCACAGGAAUAAAGGGCAAUGUGUACAGAACUUUGAAGCUCUCUUGCUCCCAUUGAACUGCACUUAAAGUUGAAAAUUAGAUCAACUGCAAUUACUGCAUACAGCACCUUCCAGAUGAAUAUAACAAAACAUAGGCUACAGACCCAUCAAUAGAUAGUAUUGACAAUUAUAAUAGGAGUCAGCUGGUUCAUGCAACAUCAAAAUGGAAAUGUCGUUCCCCCAUACUGCAGCAUGAGUGCAUGCAUAGAUUGUACAUAGCCACAUGACAGUUGUCUACUACUCAAAAGAAAGUUAGCUUGCGUUGACAUGGGUACAGAUUUGUCCAGCCACUGCAGCCGUUUAUAUCCACACUGACCACACGAGCACAUGGAAGAACAUGCACCCAUGUUAACAGUAGCUAUCGUUCUUUUACGUUACUGACAGCUGCCGUAUGGCCGCAUAGUUUAUUUCUGUGCUCAUGUGUUCAGUGUGGAUAUAGACAACAGUAGUAAAGCAGGGUAAACAAGCACCCAUGUUACACUAGCUCUCCUCCUUUUACGUUGUUGAUAGCUGUCAUAUGGCCACAGAGUUUAUCCAUGUGCUCAUCUGUUCAGUGUGAAUACAGCGCUAAACAAAAAAUGGUGUCCCUUUUGUGUCUCCUGAAGCUCAAGGCUUUUCUUUCAAGUAAAAAUGUACGCAUGCUGUUCUGCAUCAUUUUGUGAGCAGGACUGUUAAAAAUUACUCUACGCAGUGCAGCUUUACACUGGUGUGAUCUGUGCACUCUUUUUGUGUAGCCUCAUAUCCUGUACAGGUAAAUCUUAAACGUGAACAUGUUUGACACAGGUGUGCCUGGUUGGGUAGAAACUGAACAGGAUCAACGUGGCUCCAACCAAAGUUAGCCCUGUUAGUUCGUCACCCCAGAAGAAGGAGCCGGUUCAGCUCCGAAACGUCGGGAUCCCCUCUUUCAAGCUAACUUUGGUUGGAGCCACGUUGAUCCUGUUGAGGUAAAUCUUAAGCAUCGAAAAACACAUCCCUAUGGAAUCAUGCCACAUGAUUUAUCAUAUACACCUGCAUCCACAUUGCAAUCAUGCUUCUAUUCAUCACAAAUGCCACAAUACCUCUAAUUGUAAUAGGAAAAUUUAUUGACGGUAGCAACACACAACAUACAACACACCCGAAACACUACCCUCUAAUUUGGCUGUGUUGUGCAUGUCUUGAACGUCUUCUGAAUAGCUGAGUUACAAAAUAGUGAGCCAAACCAAAUCCUGCUAAUAUGCAUAUGCGUGGUACAUCACUUUACCUUCAAUUAUGUUACAACUUGUUCUCCUUGCACCAGCUCAGGGCAGCUGCAUGCUAAGUGUCCAUGGUUUUUGCUGUAUGACAUGUCCUGUACAUCGGUACUCUCAUUUCACACCAGCUCUCCUCUUCCUUGACUCGCACUCCACCCAUAAAUGUACAGCAGUGAGUGGAGAAUAAACAGAAUAUGGGCAUACUACGGUCACAAAGUUCUGGUGUAACUAAGAAUGUGUUAUCAGCAUCAUGACAAAUGAUUCUAACAUCUAUGGAUCUCUCAUCCGAAACAGUGCCUGAAUGCUGUUGCAAUACAAGAUACCACGUACAUACAUUUACUGUUGGAAAGCCUUCACAUGAUCACCAGGAGAAUAUGUGGCGUCUCAUGCACACUGCUUUCACUGCAUGACUGGCACCAAAUGCCUGUGACGUAUGAUUGUAUAUGUGUCAAACCUGAUUAUUUAUUUUGUUUCAGGUAAGCCGUUCUUCAAUGCCAUAUGUGAAGAAAAUAAUUGCUAUACAAAUUUAUUGCUAUUCAAAUAUGUGACUGGCAUUAGCUUAGGCACACCAUGCCAUGCCCCACAAAAAACAUGUCUGUGUAAGAGCUAGCUUCACCAUAGGUUCAGAAAUCUUGUGGUUGUGUGUGUGGAAUUUUUCAUUUCUUUUUAAUGGGAAAUUGACACUACUACUGUUUCUUUUUAGAACCCCCCCUCCCCCCCACAUUUUCUAUGGCACUCUUAGGGGUGCUAAAGUUCAGUAAAGUGGACCGAAGUAGUUACAUGCUCUUCUUGGGUGUGCCAACGUAAUGCAUAUGGCCAGAAUCUGUGAAACUGUUGCUUUGGGUGCUGGUAUCUUGCAAACCAUCUCCCAUAUGACAUGUAUUAAUUACCAGGAGUUGCCUGAAGACUCUGCAUGUCCACCACUCAUUACUGAAGUUAGGUGGUUAGUCAUGCAGAGGCAUCUACAUUAUUUUACCACGAAUUCAGCAUUGUGUCCCAUAAAUCUGCUCCCAGGCUUUGACCUUGAUGAUACAGUACACCAUGCUCACUACAUUAAACUGUUCAGUUGCAUAGAUUUGUGCGGACACAACUGGAUCAAUAUGUCGGCUUCUGCAAAGUGACAACUGCCAAUGUGGCUAAAAAAUAACUGAAAUUGCAGAAGAAAGAUAUACAAUCAUGUAAAUUUUAAUAAAAGUAAUACAGCACAUUUUAGCUAAGAUGCACAUGAUUUCAAGUUGCAUCCUUUUCUUUGUAUAAGCUUAUUUGUAUUGCGUCCAAUUUUCCACUGCAGACUUCCCCUUACGGUAUGAUACAGAUCAAUAUAGAAAGCGAGCAGACAAUAAUCAGUGCUGCUGUUUGCUGUAGCACUGAGAUUUUAUGCUAGAAUGAGCAUCUCUAGGUGUGCCUUGCUGUAGUAUUCCACUGUGUUGUUUCUCAAGAAAUAGCACAAUCUCUCAGUACAAAGGUGCGCAGUCAAACUGCUUAACCACAGAGUGCAGAAAUGCAGCCUGUGCAAUAAUUUUUCAUAGCUUUAUCAUCUGUGUAAACGAAAAUUAGUCGAAGCAGGCCACACAUACGGAUGAUACAAACAUGUAAGCCUCAAACGCCCAGUUGCUGAGUUGCUUGAAUCAUCGUCUGUAUUUCAGGAUGUCUGCAAUCCAGUAAAGCAUCGAAAACUGGGAAUAGUCUGAGAACUAUUGCAUGACUGGAAAACUAGAAAAAUUGUCAAGAAAGCGGUGAAGAGCUGCUGAAGUAAAAAUUCUCUAAAUAAGUUUACACAAUUGUACAAUGGCUAUUAUCUUUCUCGUGGCAUCACACAGGCCUCUUAUGUCAUUUCACAGUCAAAGUUGAGUGAUCUGUGUAAGAGUGAAGUGAUACCUGUAACUGCAUCGCUAUGCAAAUUCUUUUAUAAAUUAAAAAAAAAAGUCUGAAUAAGAAGUGAUUUCAAAGAUCGUAGUGAAUGAUGCAGUCGUCGUCCUUCUGUCCACGUCUCUUUGCUGCGGAAUAAUUCGUACCAACCACCCCGCCUUCAUACGCUUGUUUAGUGCAUGAUGUGCUGUUGGCAGCCGUAUUAUAGCAUGGCAUGAGCUGUGGGGAGUUCUUAGGCAUUGGUGGUGGUGAUGUUUUGGCAUGUAAUGGUGCGAUGAUAAUGCCAGUGAAAUUGCUUACAAUGCCAGUAUGGAGUCGAGAGAGAAGUUUGUAAAGAAUGAGCAUGGAAAAAUAGAUAAGUCCCCAACCAGGUGUGUAAAAGUGUUUCCUGAAUAACAUAUGGCUUUGAACAAAUAAGCUCAACACAAUUAUUGAACAAAAUGGCAGCACAGGCUUGUUUGUGGCUGAUGUUGCAGCUGUUUGGUGUGUGUUUUCUUUGGUCCUUUCCUGUUUGCUCCAUCCUUGAAACACCACUAUUGAAACCGGUAUAAGAUAUCCUUCUUUACAAGGUGUUUGGUUCAUUUUAACAUCUGUAUUUUGUGUACACAGUCUCAAUAAACUACAAAUUCUGAA